GUACUUAUCUGGCAGGGGAGAUAUCAUGAUCACAAAGGUUGUUUUCCAGGGAGAGGGUAUUGCACUCCAGAUAUGCUGACCCCUGUGACUUCCCCAAAUGUGGGAAACUGGACUACAUAAUUAGUGGUAGUGGGGGACUGCAUUCAAGCUCUCCCCUG